CCUACGGGGAGCUGCAGUGGGGAAUAUUGCACAAUGGGGGAAACCCUGAUGCAGCGACGCCGCGUGAGUGAAGAAGUAAUUCGUUAUGUAAAGCUCUAUCAGCAGGGAAGAAAAUGACGGUACCUGAGUAAGAAGCCCCGGCUAACUACGUGCCAGCAGCCGCGGUAAUACGUAGGGGGCAAGCGUUAUCCGGAUUUACUGGGUGUAAAGGGAGCGUAGACGGCAGUGCAAGUCUGGAGUGAAAGGGGGGGGCUCAACCCCCGGACUGCUCUGGAAACUGUACGGCUGGAGUGCAGGAGAGGUAAGUGGAAUUCCUAGUGUAGCGGUGAAAUGCGUAGAUAUUAGGAGGAACACCAGUGGCGAAGGCGGCUUACUGGACUGUAACUGACGUUGAGGCUCGAAAGCGUGGGGAGCAAACAGGAUUAGAUACCCUUGUAGUC
rnacentral:rRNA from 1 species